rnacentral:rRNA from 1 species
UACAGAGGGGCAAGCGUUGUUCGGAAUUACUGGGCGUAAAGGGCGCGUAGGCGGCCUUUCUAAGUCGAACGUGAAAUCCCUGGGCUCAACCCAGGAACUGCGUCCGAUACUGGAAGGCUUGAAUCCGGGAGAGGGAUGCGGAAUUCCAGGUGUAGCGGUGAAAUGCGUAGAUAUUCGCAAGAACACCAGUGGCGAAGGCGGCUCACUGGCCCGGUACUGACGCUGAGGUGCGAAAGCGUGGGGAGCAACAGGGAUUAAG